rnacentral:lncRNA from 1 species
UUAAAACAUGAAAUUUCUUCAGAGGGUGAGGGCAACAAUAGAACCCCCUACACCAUUUUUAUAUAUUAAGAUUUUUUUUAGAAAUUGGGAAUGUGUCAAAGAGACAACAACCCAAACAAACAACAGAAAAAAGUUGAAAAGCUGAUGACUGAAUGAAGGAUAGCUGCGUCCCUAAAUACACUUGUUUUGUGCAAAUUGAAAUUAAAAAC